rnacentral:rRNA from 1 species
GAUGAACGCUAGCGGGAGGCUUAACACAUGCAAGUCGAGGGGUAAAUGGUAGCAAUACUAUGAGACCGGCGAACGGGUGCGUAACGCGUAUGCAACUUACCUUAUGCAGGGGGAUAGCCCGUGGAAACGCGGAUUAAUAUCCCAUAGAUCAGUAAUAUCGCAUGGUAUAACUGGUAAAACUCAGGUGGCAUAAGAUGGGCAUGCGUCUGAUUAGCUAGUUGGUAGGGUAACGGCCUACCAAGGCGACGAUCAGUAGGGGUUCUGAGAGGAUUAACCCCCACACUGGUACUGAGACACGGACCAGACUCCUACGGGAGGCAGCAGUGAGGAAUAUUGGUCAAUGGGCGCAAGCCUGAACCAGCCAUCCCGCGUGAAGGAAGAAGGCCCUACGGGUUGUAAACUUCUUUUCUGUUUGAAGAAUAAGCUCGUCGAGACGAGUGAUGCCGGUAGGACAGGAAUAAGCAUCGGCUAACUCCGUGCCAGCAGCCGCGGU